rnacentral:rRNA from 1 species
UACGUAGGGUGCAAGCGUUGUCCGGAAUUAUUGGGCGUAAAGGGCUCGUAGGCGGUUAGUCGCGUCGGGAGUGAAAACUCAGGGCUCAACCCUGAGCGUGCUUCCGAUACGGGCUGACUAGAGGUAUGCAGGGGAGAACGGAAUUCCUGGUGUAGCGGUGGAAUGCGCAGAUAUCAGGAGGAACACCGGUGGCGAAGGCGGUUCUCUGGGCAUUACCUGACGCUGAGGAGCGAAAGCAUGGGGAGCGAACAGG